UACGGGGGGGGCAAGCGUUGUUCGGAAUUACUGGGCGUAAAGGGCUCGUAGGCGGCCAACUAAGUCCGACGUGAAAUCCCCAGGCUUAACCUGGGAACUGCGUCGGAUACUGGAUGGCUUGAAUCCGGGAGAGGGAUGCGGAAUUCCAGGUGUAGCGGUGAAAUGCGUAGAUAUCUGGAGGAACACCGGUGGCGAAGGCGGCUUCCUGGACUAAUACUGACGCUGAGGUGCGAAAGCGUGGGGAGCAAACAGG
rnacentral:rRNA from 1 species